CUGGCUCAGGAUGAACGCUAGCUACAGGCUUAACACAUGCAAGUCGAGGGGCAGCAUUGGGAUAGCUUGCUAUUUCAGAUGGCGACCGGCGCACGGGUGAGUAACGCGUAUCCAACCUUCCUGCCAGUAGGGAACAGCCCGGCGAAAGUCGGAUUGAUGCCCUAUGUUCUUCAAUGCGGACAUCUAAGUUGAAGGAAAGAUUCAUCGCUGGCAGAUGGGGAUGCGUCCGAUUAGCUUGCCGGCGGGGUAACGGCCCACCGGGGCGACGAUCGGUAGGGGUUCUGAGAGGAAGGUCCCCCACACUGGUACUGAGACACGGACCAGACUCCUACGGGAGGCAGCAGUGAGGAAUAUUGGUCAAUGGGCGCAAGCCUGAACCAGCCAAGUAGCGUGCCAGGAUGACGGCCCUACGGGUUGUAAACUGCUUUUGUGCGGGAAUAAAGUAUGGGACGCGUCCCGUUUUGCAUGUACCGCACGAAUAAGGACCGGCUAAUUCCGUGCCAGCAGCUGC
rnacentral:rRNA from 1 species